UUGUUAUCCUUCCUUUGUCAAAAUAAACAUGGAAAAGGGGAGAACUCCUUUAGGCUCCACUUCUCCAGAGGGAACCCCAAAGAGAUAGGUUGGCCUUUCUGGCUGCAGAUGUCUGUAAUCACAGCUUCUCAUCUCAUCAUCAAUGACUAAAAGCACUUUACAUGCUGCCCUGUCUGGAAAUACCUUCCAAUGCCUUAGCUUGAGUGAAAGGUGGGUAAACUGCCUCGAUGCAAGAAGUUGCUAUUAUCAUUUCCACAUCCUUGCCACUGGAUUCCCAUAUCUGUUGCCACCCAAGCUUCAAGGUCAAGGCUUCCUCUGGCAUGACAUGAGCCUAGUGCUUGCACCAGCUGCUUUUAAUGAAGCAGACAGGUCUCAUCUGGGUAUUGUUGACACGAUCUCCCAAAAUGCUUGACAGGCAAAGCAAACAAGUUAAGUGGAGCUAGCUCCUGGGGCUAAUGAGCAAUCAUCACUGCCAUCGUUAGGGUCCUCUUUCCAGGGAAGAAGACUCCCAGCCUUUACAACUCCUGUGUCGCUGGAGCAGCCAGAUUGCCAAAGAAAUCCCUUCAGCCACAGAUCCCACAGGGAGUGCCUGGGGAAAGGAAAAGGAGGGUCAUUUUCAGCUGAGCCCUGAUGGGAAUCAAGCAUUUACAUCUUAGGCCAUUGAGCAGCAAGUCAUAACUCAUCACUGUGUGGUGGCAGCUGCGUGAUCAAGCUCCAAUGGAUCAAACUUUCUGUGGCUUUGGGACUGCAGUGCUGGAGCCUGAAGCUGGCCUCAUGGAUAUCAGCUGAUGUUUUCCUGCUGAAGACUUACUGCAUGAGUCAUCUUAUCAUCUAGGAAGUAGACACAUUGUUAUAAGGAGCCUUGCCAGUGAUGUUAACCCCAAUCUACUAAAGAAAUGAGAGCCAUCAGCCAAACCACAAAAGUACCUCACCACUGCCUCAAACUAUGGCUUCCUCCACUAAGGGUAAUAUGAGAUGUACACCCAGUAUAGGUAGACACAAAUCAUCUCUUAGAACUAACUCUUAAAGCAAUCACUGAAAUACUGUUUAUUUUUCUAAAGAACCACAUUGAGUAGUUCUGCCACCUAAACUUCCCUGCCAAUUUGCUGGCAUCAACAGCACCCAGCACAGUAUUGCUCAAUGACUGCAUGUCUUUGGCUCUUAUGCUCUGCUGUAACAAACUGUGGAAAUGCAAAGGCGAUAACAGGCAUCGCUGCAUACCAGUUA